GCAGGCUCCAGGCUCUGAGCUGUCAGCACAGAGCCCGACGCGGGGCUGUAACUCACGAACCGUAAGAUCGUGACCUGAGCCGAAGUCGGAUGCUUAACCCACUGAGCCACCCAGGUGCCCGUAAAGGCACCGUUCUUGAUUCAUGGGGAGAGAACAAAAUAUAAAAAAAGCGCCUGACCUAGGGAAGGGUUCGCCGUAAGCAAGUCCAGACUGGAGAGACCCCGAAACCUCCCUGGAUCAAGGGCGAGCCGGUGCCGGAGGGACUGAGUGCGAAGGCAGUUCACGCCGGGCUCCACUCUCAUGAGCAACGGAAACCGACUCGAGGGAACUUAUCCGAAGGCCACCUGCACCGUUACUCACUGGCCCCGCAGGACAAGCACCGCUUGACUGUUCGGGGCCACCCCCCCGUCCGGAAUGAACCAACCCUUCACUGUCCUCUGUUUCUCAUGUCCCUCCAUCCGCGACGGUGGCCGAGACAGUUCUGAGACAGUGCAACUAGCCUUCACGCGGGUCGCACGCUCCGGGCGGCUCCAUCAGGGCUGGGAGACAAAGCAUCCAGUGUGAUCAAUAUUCUGAGCGUUCCGAGUAUAUUCUCAGAGCCACAGAUGCCUCCGGGGUCCGUAACGACAGCACCAACCGCCGGUGCCACUCGGGGGGCCGGAGGUUCUGAGGGCUUUGCACCCCCUCCAUCCACCCAGCGCUCCCUGCUGCAGCUGUCAGGGCCCCACUUCUGCCUUCACAGGGUCCCCGGGCCGCUGCCUUCCCCCGAUGUCAUGAAGCAGCCCACGGGCUCAACCGGCUACUUCCGUCCCGAAUUCGCAAGACCUGGGGCGUCUUGGAGCUCUCCCAAAACAUCCCGGGUUUCCUUCUCUUCCCUGCGGUUAGAAUCUAGGAAUCUGACCUCUUGGCUCUUGUGCCUGAAUUGGUCAACUGGUGCUGGUGACACCCAGCUGUGCCUCCCUCGUCUGACGGGAUUCCCGCUACAAACAGUGAGAACCACCUGGGACUCCAUACACGUCUGAAGAUCAUUGUUGCUGCCCCAUGAAGAGUGGAACGGCCAGACCGAGGCCUGAUAAGCAACCACUAGAACAGCCCAGGGUGGGGCGGGGGGCCAGAUGCGGGCGGCGACGGGGGACAAGGACAAGUGAGACCCAGAUCCCUCCACAGCGCUGACAAGACGGACAAAGGCAGAGCAUCAGCUGGGCACGCGGACUGGGACUGCUCCGCACGGUGGGGACACGCAGGAGGGACGGGUCUGGGCAAACAAGGGGACCCAGCUUUGGCUGGUGGGGACAGGGACAUGGCGGUGGUGGGGGCAGUGGUGUGGCGAUGGCGGGGACAGUAGAAGCAGAAACAAACACCAGCACACAGGACAGCCUCGUUGCUCCUGGGGAGCCUUUAGGAGAGAAAUCACUCUGGAAGCUGUUUGGAUUUAGAGUGUGUGGACGGCAUCCAAGGAAUGCUGUCCCUGAUUUCUAAGAGUCGGUGGCCCGGAAUCUAACUUCCUCGGGUGAGAGACGGGGACCUGGCUUGUACACGGAGCAAGGCCAUGAAGAGCCUCUGUCACCGUCAGAUUAGCUUCCUAACCGGUUAGUUUUCAGACUCCCCCCUGGAACAUCCCACUAAUAUUUUUCACAUCGAUUACACCUAACGUGGUAACGCCUUGGAUGUAUUGGGUUAAGUAAAAUAAAAUAUUAAAAUUGA